CAACCUGCCUCAUACAGAGGGAUAAUCAUGUGAAAACGUGACUAAUACCGCAUGUCAUUACCGGAGGGCAUCCUCCGGUAAGAAAAGGAGCAAUCCGGUAUGAGAUGGGCCCGCAUCUGAUUAGCUAGUUGGUGAGAUAACAGCCCACCAAGGCGACGAUCAGUAGCCGACCUGAGAGGGUGAUCGGCCACAUUGGGACUGAGACACGGCCCAA
rnacentral:rRNA from 1 species